UCAGACUGAGACAAGACGGCCAUGGAAUGAACGGUGGAGACUUUGACCUUUCCACCAAGUGAGGCAGCUUUAAGUGCGUUUUCCAUAUUUUGCAUUGCAGGUAAUAGCUGAGAGAUCAGGUUUUGGUCUCCAGAUAACAAUACCUCGUUACCAACGGUGACGAUAAUGAUUUUGCUAGCUGGGUAGUAAGGCAAGAUGUUGGCGUUGAUCCACUGAGUAGCUGAGUUGGGAUCAGAAGCCAAAGCAGGGAUAUCACUAUUUGCAGCUCCAAUGACAAUCCCUAUCCCAGUAUUGGCAAGAGCUUUGAGAACCGCUGGAUCGGCCCCGUAGAGCCU
rnacentral:misc_RNA from 1 species